UAACAGGUAUGCUAGCGUAGCGGUGGCCUUCGCGUUCACUUGAGCUACAAACACCAACGGCUAACUUUAGCUUAGUCUGUUUUUCACUGGACUUAGACCAAUUUAAGGGUUUUGUUUGAACCUAAAGCAACAGACAGUGAGUUUCAACAGAGUUUCAGUCGACGCAGCUUGAACUUUACUUUCACGAAAAGCUAAAUCACUUAAACGUUAGCUAGCUAGCGAGCUAACAUUCGCUGAUUGAGGUGAGCGUGCGACCGCACUUUGGUCAUGUUAGCGGUUAGCUUUUUUUUUUUUUUUUAAGCUUUGUUAAGAAGCUAACGUUAUUAGGUUAAAGAUUAUUUGACAAUAUGGUGAAAUAUUGGUGUUUGGGCUUUAAAUUCAGUGCCCUCUCAAUAGCACACAGCGUCCCUUCGAUAGCUCAGUUGGUAGAGCGGAGGACUGUAGUGGCUUGACAGCUGAAAUCCUUAGGUCGCUGGUUCGAAUCCGGCUCGAAGGAGACACCUUUUUCCUACCGUCAACCACUUUUCUUUAGUGCCAUCCAACCGACAACACACGUACUGUUGUUUCAAAUUGUAGCGUUAGUACUUUCUCCUCGCUGCGUUUUCCUAUGCCAACAACGGCAUUUCUGGACUUGAAAGUGAUUUUUAUGUUUUUCAUCACAGCACCUCAAGGUGGCAGAGUGGCCUCUCAGCCUGGACAGGCCUGUCUUCUGACCUGCAAUCUGGGACGAAUGGUGAUCCGAGUCUAGCAGCGAGCGGAAGCGUAGGGCCACCUCUAUCUGUCCUGGGUGGGGCCGCAGCGUGUGGAUGUCUGCAGGAGGAGACCAGAAAAUGAGG